GAUGAACGCUGGCGGCGUGCCUAAUACAUGCAAGUCGAGCGAACAGAUGAGGAGCUUGCUCCUCUGACGAUAGCGGCGGACGGGUGAGUAACACGUGGAUAACCUACCUAUAAGACUGGGAUAACUUCGGGAAACCGGAGCUAAUACCGGAUAAUAUAUUGAACCGCAUGGUUCAAUAGUGAAAGACGGUUUUGCUGUCACUUAUAGAUGGAUCCGCGCCGCAUUAGCUAGUUGGUAAGGUAACGGCUUACCAAGGCAACGAUGCGUAGCCGACCUGAGAGGGUGGUCGGCCACACUGGAACUGAGACACGGUCCAGACUCCUACGGGAGGCAGCAGUAGGGAAUCUUCCGCAAUGGGCGAAAGCCUGACGGAGCAACGCCGCGUGAGUGAUGAAGGUCUUCGGAUCGUAAAACUCUGUUAUUAGGGAAGAACAAAUGUGUAAGUAACUAUGCACGUCUUGACGGUACCUAAUCAGAAAGCCACGGCUAACUACGUG
rnacentral:rRNA from 1 species